GGAAGAGCUUCCUGUCCCACAAUGCACAGCGGUAUCCGCGCUUAAUAAAUUAACACGAGACACAUGGUCGGCCUCUCAGUCGGCAGGAAGAUGUGGUACAGAAGGAAUGAAUUUCUGUAUGUGGGUUCAGAUAGACAGGCUGCAGUGGACACUUCUGCGGCACCGCCAUGUUGUUACUACGAAACGGACACCACAGGCAGUGACUUUAUUUGACAUGCUGGCACCCAGUAUUGAACAAACAUGAUGGCCCAGUGUUGGCAAUGGAAUAGAACUACACACUGCUUGCAUUUAGGCAUAAAGUGAUUCUGACAGGCGGUUUUGGAUGACUUGGGGAUGCAACAGCUAUCUUGGCUACAUCAACCAGUUUCGGCAAAUCUCAUGUCAGUAUGUGGAGUUCUGUCUGCAUACCUCAACCUCACAGGGGCUUUAGAUUUCAAGAGGAGGGUUUUUUUUUCUCUCUAAUCCCUCAUUUGAAGGUUUAAAACCAGAUCUAUCAAAAUGUUUGCCUUUUAAUGUCAGUUAAUCUAAGCAGCAGCAUCAAUGGGUAAUAUUGAACACACAUUUUACACUGGAGUACAGCAAGUGUACAUUUUGAGUUGGAUGAUUCUGAGGUUGUCUUGCAACUGAGCUCAAUGAUUAAGAAAUGCAAGUUUCCCAUGUGGUGUUUUGAAGAAAAAAAAAAGAUGGCUGUAAAUUCUGGUUUGGAAAAAUGAAGCAAAUGCUGAAAUCCCUUAAACCAACAUUCUGUCUGAAAGCCACCAAAUGUCAAUUGCUAUGUUUGCAGAUUAUGAGAAAUGGCUUUCUAGUAAACACUUUACUGCUAAGUUUAUGGCAUCACUCAUUUAGGGUCAUAACAAAAUGGCAAGAUGAUGUGGUGCUGAAGUCUAAUGCUUGUACCAUUGUAUAAUCAAUGUACAAGAGGCUAAAUAACAGACAAAUGCAUGAAUUGUUCCUCUCAUUCUGGCUUAACAUUUGUCAUCUGUUUUAUUGGCCUAGAUGUAAUGUUGUACCACUGUCGUUUUAUUUGGGUAAUAUUCCAAACUCCAGAUGGUGAUAGAAUCAUCUUUAUUUGAGAAAUGUACUUAAACCUUUUUGUCCCUACUUUGAGUUUUCAAGCUACCUCUUUAAAAGGUGAAUAAACUGAACAAGAAAUGUGUCAUUGCUUUUAUAAAUGCCUAAAUGGAACAAGA